UGCAAGUCGAACGGACUUACAUUGAAGCCUAGCGAUAUGUAAGUUAGUGGCGGACGGGUGAGUAACGCGUGGGUAACCUGCCUUGUACUGGGGGACAACAGUUGGAAACGACUGCUAAUACCGCAUAAGCGCACAGCUUCGCAUGAAGCAGUGUGAAAAACUCCGGUGGUACAAGAUGGACCCGCGUCUGAUUAGCUGGUUGGUGAGGUAACGGCCCACCAAGGCGACGAUCAGUAGCCGGCCUGAGAGGGUGAACGGCCACAUUGGGACUGAGACACGGCCCAAACUCCUACGGGAGGCAGCAGUGGGGAAUAUUGCACAAUGGGGGAAACCCUGAUGCAGCAACGCCGCGUGAGUGAAGAAGUAUUUCGGUAUGUAAAGCUCUAUCAGCAGGAAAGAAAAUGACGGUACCUGACUAAGAAGCCCCGG
rnacentral:rRNA from 1 species